rnacentral:siRNA from 1 species
ACGAACUGGAUCAAUGCCGAAGAA